rnacentral:tRNA from 1 species
UCCCUGGUAGCUCAGAUGGUAAAGCAUCUGCCUGCAAUGCAGAGACCUGGGUUCGAUCCCUGGUUUGGGAA